rnacentral:snRNA from 14 species
AUGCUUGCCUCAGCCGCACAUAUUCUAAAAUUGGAACGAUACAUUACGGCCCCGGAACAAAGAUGAAACACAAAUUUGUGACGUUUCAUAUUUUU